GCACAGUCAUGGUCCUGUCCGUGCUCGGAAUCGAUCAACGAAGGCACGAAUUCAUCAUCUGCCGAGUCCGGGGCUUGGCCCGUAGUACUAGGGAGUACACCGGUGGGAUUAGCGAUUCUCGCAGCCUUGGUCUUGGAACGGGUUUGGCGGACGAAUGAUUUCUCCAUUCUCCGGUCGAUAAAUCUUUGAGUUAUUGUUGAGAACGUUCGGUUUCGGAGGUCUUACGAAGCAAACUCGUCGUUGUUCCCGAUCGAAAGUAAGCUCAAAGCUGUAAAUUUAUUACCAUUAGUAACAUACUAGUUCAUUUUCCAUUUCAAUUUACUUACAUUUAGUCUCCUUAUACCUCGCCAUAGUUCUAGUUCAACAAUAUAACUUUUUUAACUUCUACAAUUUAGCUAAUCUGAAAUAAGAUCUAUAUCUAGAAAUAGUUUUAUAUAUGGAAAUUUUAUUAAUUACUUGAUAGUGAUGGGUUUUCUGAAAGUCGCCUCGAUGAUUCUGCACUUUUAAUCUUCAAUCUAUAUUUGACAGCUAUCUGACAAUUGACUGACAGAUCUCUCAUUACUUCAAUUAGCCACACGCACACUACUCAAAUUAGUUGAGAGACUUUUCAGUGGCAGGGUUGCCGGUAACAGGGAUUGUUAUGGCCUUCACUGGUUUUAUUGUUGCUAACAAAAUACACUGAAAAAAAAUCAUUCGAACGAGAAAAUGUUAGAAAAACUUUUUUUCCUUAAAAGUGCCCAUCUUGUGAUGUAUGGACGGUUGGUAGGAAACAUAAUUACCUGUCUUGAGACAAAAUUUCAUCAAAAUCAAAAAUGGUGUUUUUUUUAAAUCAACUUUGAAUUUUUAGAAAUGAUUUUUUUCAGUGUAGAGCUCAUUUUGGAUUUUUUUCAGUAUUUUUUUCUUAAAAUUUGACUUAUUUUGUGAUAACCACCCAUACAACACUUUUUUGUAGGAGUAGUCAUUUUUUGAUUAAAAACUUUUUUUAAAAAUCCAUAAAAAAAGUUUAGCCCUUUUCAAAAGUAAGUCGAGAAAAAAAAAAUAGAAAAAUGAGUAUGCAAAGUGGCUUAUCUGGGCAAGGUCUACACACCCAGAAAGUUUCGUUGUAAUCUGAGAGGGUGCUGCCAACAUUUGUUCGAGUUGGCGCGAAAUCCGUCGGAAGCACUGCGGAUUUCCUGCACUCAGGAAAAUUGCCUCAUACUUAAUGGCAAAUAUCCAUGUGCCAAACUACAUCCAAAGUAUAUGCAACCAAUACCCGAUUACGCAGGCAAAUUAGCACAUGAAUAGUAUGUGCUCUAAAUUGUAUGAGUCGGUGCUAUAUGGUGCCUCAUCAAAAGUAUGAGUCACACUAAUGGAAAACAUUUGUUUACCCCCAUUGCAAAAAUCCAUGUCCCGGACACAUAGAAGGAAUGAAGAUUUUUUUCCCAGUGUGUGGUUAAUUUUAAAACAAUUCCAGUUCAGUGAAUAUGUUUGUUUUCUGGAAGAAGGGAAUUAUGUGAGAAUCUGCAGCAUUGCUCUUGAUCUGUCGAAAGAAAUAUGAGGUUUCCUAGUUCUCGAAAAAUCCUAAAAGAGUUCUUUCAGGAGUUCCCCGAUAAUUCCUCUAGAAUGUCCCCCAGGAGUUCACGGGAAUUCAUCCAGCAGUUCUCCUCAAGUUCUUCCUUCAGGAGAUUAUCAGGAAUUCCUCCAAAGUUUCCCGGAUAUUCCCGUAGGAGAUCCUCGGGAAGUCCUCCAGGAGUUCCCCGGGAAUUCUUCAAGGAGUGUCCCGGAAGCUCCUCCAGGGAUUCCCCAGGAAAUCAUCCAGAAACUUUCAGGUGCUUCCUCCAGGAAAUCCCCGAUAAAACUUCCGGGAGUUCCCCGGGAAUGCAUCCGGAAGUUCCCAGUUAAUUCUUUCAGGAGUUCGCCGGGAGUAUAUCCAGGAGUUCCCCGUAAAUUCUUGUAGGAGUUCCUCGGGAAUUCCUACAUAAAUUCUUUUGAAUUUCUCUGAUGAGUUUCUAAGAAAUUCCUCCAGGAGUUUCCCAGGAAAUGAUCUAAAAUUACCUCUGAACUGCCGGUGGAAGCAUAUUUGUCCAAUGUGCAUUUUUGGCAAUAUUGAGUGUUUGCAGCUUAUGAACAUGAAUCAUAGUGUACUAUCAUAUAGGGAAAUAAAAACAGGUCAAGCAUAGGUUUGCCCCCCAAUAUUUGACGAUUUUUUAAUUUUCCCAUACAUAAAAACAGAAAAAAAAACUCCUGGUGUAAUCUUAAAAGAAUAUCUUGGAGAAAAACCAGAAGAAACUAUAAGAGGAACCUAUAAAGUUACUCCUAGUGGAGACUCAGAAGAAGCUUCUGAAGGAAUCCCGGGAAAAGUUGCUGGAGGAAGGAUAUCCUAGAUAAAUCUGAUAAACAAUUCCUGGAGAAAUCCCAAAAGUAAUUUUUUGAGGAUUCAUAUAAGAAACGCCUAGAGAAAACCUAGAGGGAUGCCAAAUAGUUCUAUUUUAGAAAAAAAAAACUCCUGGAGAAAUCUUAGAAUGCAUUCCUGUAGAAAAUCCUAGAAGGAACUCUUGGAAUGAUCCCGGAAGGAAUUCCUGCGGGAAUCUCCGAAUAAAUAUAUGAGUGAACCAAAAAAAAAAAUACUAGGGAAAUCCCGGUUGAAAUUAUUGGAGGAUGGUUCAAAAAAACUUCUGGUAGAAUCUUAGAAAACACCUCUGGGGAAAACCCUGAAGGAACUCCUAGAUCCUAGAAGAUCCCAUGCUCCUAAAUCCUGGAAAAACAUUAGUUCCUGCAUGGAGGGUUUUUGUAGAAAUUCCAAUAAAAAUCUCUGGGACAUUUUAUGAGAAACACCGGCGAACUCCUGGUUGAUGUUCCGGUGGAAUACCUGGAAGAAUUUCAAGAGGAUUUUCUGCGAAAUCCCAGAGAAAAACCUUCGUACGGAAUGAGUUCCCCCAGAAUCUCAGCGCAAUGUCUUUCAUCAUUAUUCUCCUUGGAAAGCUUCACAACUCCGUUGGAAUCUUUAUCUGAAUUUUCCCUAGAAGCCCACCCAAAAGUUAUAAAUUGAAUCAUUUCCCCCACACGCGCGCGAAAAAGUACAUUUCAAUUUCAAUAACGUUUCCUGAGGAAACGAACGAAAAUUCUCUAAGUCCAAAUUGUAAACAACCUGGUGCCCUUUUCCUCACAUCCUUCUUACAGCAUCGUUGCGUUAAAAUGCUGUCAAUUAGACAAAUGUCAAAAUUACUUACAGAAAAAGGUGAAAUUUUACUUGAGCGCUCUACUUGGCAACAGGAAACUUAGCUUAAUGUUGAUGUUUUUGACGUGAAAUGAACCCUAAAUGAUGAUUUCAUGAAAAACUCAUUUCGUUUUUUGUGCUUCGAUAGAACGUACAUUUUGCUUCGAUAUAACGUACACAAAUUUUUUCCCCAAAUUGCGCUAAUUUUGGGUUACAAGGCUGAUGCUGCAACACAGCAUUGAUAUGAGUGAUUUCGUAGUUUAUCUGAUGGUUAAUCCUGGGAAAAAAUGAAAAGUUCAAUGUUGUACGUUAUAUCGAAGCAAAAUGUACGUUAUAUCGAAUUCUCUAUAUCGACGGUACUUUAUAUCGAGGGUACGUUAUAUCGAAGAAUACCUGUAUCUCAAUAGAUACAUUUUUUAGAUCAACAGGUUAUGCUAGUCCAUUACGAUCGACUCAUAAUUGAUGAACUGGCAACACUGUCACAUUUUUUUAAUCCUUAUUAUACUAGAUAUUGUUCAAAUCAUCACAAAACGUCUUUAUAUGGCAUCGGACAAUGUUUUUUUGUGAAAUUUAUAAACUGCACCUGAUUUUAUAUGAUACAUUAUAUGAAAAAAAUGAAUAUUUUUCUUAAAAACGCUUUAUCUCAGGAACGACGCAAAUUACCUUGGGGAGUUAAGCUUUUUCGAUUGAAAAGCGUCUGAUAAACACGAUGGAAUCAAAAUUUUUAAAAUCAAAAUAUACGUAUUUUGAGAAAAAUCGAUUUUUAGUUUUAAAAUUGAAAAAUAUGAUAUCUGGCAACACUGUAUCAAAAAAAUAAUAUUUUUUCUGGAUUCCCUGAACGAUUUCCGAUAUGAGAAAUUUAAUCCCCUAACACCCCACCAGUUUGUGAAACUAGACUUUUUUCGCAAAAAUGUCGGUGUUCGAAAACUAACUAACCCAAGUUUCGUUUGAAAUGAGUUGUAGAACACCUUACGAUUACUCACAUAUUAUUAUCAAUAAUAUUUCUGACCUCACAAAUGAAUGUUUUAAAGGUAGUGAAAUUGAUAAAAGCAAUGCCGUUCUAUUUUUGAUGUCUAGUGUCCAGUUAAACACGUAUUUUUAUGUGUGGUAAUCCUUAUAGUAUGCCUUUAUUUCCAACAAACAUUUGAAGUGAAUUUGGAAUAAGUAAAUCAAUGUUUAUAUGGUUUGGCGAUUUUUCAAAGUAGUGUGUGAAGAUGAAUCCCUUAACAGCCCAUGAGUUCUUAACACCCCAUUUUACGGUAUUUAAAACUUAACAGAACUUUAAAAGAUAUAUACCAUAGACGAGAGGAACAAACUUGUACUCUCUGGAGCGGAUCUGGUGUGAUGGUUAAAGCCCGUGACUGUCACGCCGAGGACCUGGGAUCGAAUCCCACUCCCGACAUACUAAAAAAAAUGUGAGUUUUCCUUCGGAAGGGAAGUAAAGUGUGGGUCCCGAGAUGAACUUGCCUAAAUCUCGUCAAUACAGAUAAAAAAAAGUACUAAUUAGUACGGGCAACACAAUAAAACCAAGAGUUUACCAUGCCUACAACUUCUUAACGCGCUGAUAAAACAUUGUUGCUUCAAACCAAGGGGCUGUUCAUAAACCACGUAGACCAAAUUUCGGCCAUCUCAGACCCCCCUCCCCCCUCGUACACUUUUGUCAAUACAAAAAUUUUGAAAUUUGUAUGGAGCGUAGACUUUGGCCAGACUCCUCCCCCCUCUCCCCAAAAAGUCUACGUGGUUUAUGAACGGUCCCCUAGCUUUUCCUGUUCUAGGAAGCGACACAAUUCCAACAGUGACGAUAAUAAUGUUAGCAAUGAUUAGCAAAGAUUAAUACCGAGCUCUGUGCUACUGAGUUGACAACAGUUGAGGCAGCGCGGUACGCUGGAGGAUCGAUCAUUACCGUUAAAGUAAGUUUUGAUAUUUAUUAAUAAAAAAACACUGACAUGUAAGAGCAAGUGAUCACAUUUUUCUGACUAACGGUUUGUUGUCAAAAAAGACUUCGUCAGUUUUGAGAACUAUCAUGACAAAACCAUACUACUACUCAUAGUAUAUUCGAAUCAAUCAAUAAAUCGGUGCACGGUUCGAAUGAUUAAAAUAUUGUCUAAAAUUGUUUAAUGCUCUAAGAUGUCAAGUAAAUGUUUAAUUUCAAGAAAUUCUCUAACGUCCUCAUUUUUAUUCACAUCAUGUCCAUUAAGAAGCUCCAUGGAUCAAUAUUGGAUCCUUAACUAUAUCUUUUGAAAACUACUAAAAUGCUUUCUUUAUUUCUGAACGAAGCAAAAGAAUUAUAAUCAAAAAAUACUACACAACUAUGCAUUUUUGUUACUUACACAGUUAAAAAUGUUAUAUCAUUAUAUCAUAUGUAGCAAAAGGACCCCGUCAUAUUGCACACAUGUUUCCAUCAAUUAAUAUUGUACGUGGAUUUGCUAACUGAACACGACGAAUCAGAACCGUCGUUUUUGGAAUCGCCGUUGGAAUCGUCGUUCGAAUGUAGAGCGAGACAGCAACCAAACUGACACAUCUCUUUGACAUAUUUAACGUAGGAGCAACACGUGCGUGAGGUUCUCUCUCUCGGUUGGUCUGAUGAUGGUAAGGAUGGAGGAGCAUAGUCGGAGGGGUGCUCCAAUGUGUUUUCAGAAGAAUUCGUCGAGAUAAAAAGUUUUUGUUAUAAAAAAUAUGGAAAAUUCUAGUUCAAAAGUUCAGCAUUAAACUUUUCAAUGCAUGUUACGUAUAUUAUUUUACAGAGAAUCAGUCUAGAGGUCGUUUAACGUAAUAAGAGCAUUAACAUAAAAGUCUAUAGUUUUACAAGAACGCAUUGAAACGCUCCUUGAAAUUUAACGGCGAUUCCCAACCAGCUCAAGCAAAUUCCCUUGGAAUUCAUCUUCGAAGUAAAAUCACAAUAAAUUUACAGCUUGCUCUCAGUAUGAAGCUUGCGUUCAACAUUCCAUACAAGAAAUUAUUUGAUGUAAAAUUAAGUUAAAAGAGAUAGAAAUUCGUACGCAAUUUUUUUUUUCGUCAGGCAUAAUUUCAGAUAUUUUGCUGAGUAGUAACCAUUCUCCGUUAAUAGUUUUCUUUGUUUUCUUGAAUUGAAAUGGAACACAUAUAGGGUAUGAAUGUCAUAAGCAAUUUUACGCUCACCGGUGGCAUUAGCUCGUUGUUAACACGUGAUUUGAAACACAUUUUGGUUAGAAACCCGAUCAUUGCAAAACAUGACUAUUUAAUGCAUUGAAAAGGCACUCAUGUGUCAUAUAUGUGCUAUCAGUGCAUUCCAAUGCACGUUAGUGUCAAAGUUACGUUACAAUUAGCGUAUGUCAUUUGCUCGUUGCGAAGCAAAUGUGUUGAAAUAAGUGAACGGCCGCUGUUGUAGACGGCUCCCUAUGAAAAUAUAGAGACUGGCCGUUGGUUUUUUAGCUAUAUCUCUGAAACGGUGAGAGAUUCCAUUUUAGCGUCAAAGAACAAAGGGAAGAACAUUUGUUUUUGCGCUUAGAAAUAUUAUGCUUAAAAUAAUCUAUGAUACAGAUGGUACUUUUAUCAGCAUUUUAAGACGUUUUUUCUCUAUGGUGAAAAAUGUUCUGAGAAACUUUUUUUCUUAAUGUAUUCUUAUUUGGAUUGCUGAGGUAAUUUGGCGUCGAUUUCACUACAAAAAGUUUGUUCUACGAUGCAUAGUUUUUAAGAUAUGAUUUUUUGAAGUUUGAGGUGUAUUACAAAAUUUAAAAAAAAUCGUGAAAUUUCAUCUAGCGUUUCCCGGAAAAAUAGUCCACUAUGAUUUUGUGUUCGGUAAUAAAAAAAAUCCCCUAUAGCCCUUUUCAAAAGUCAGUCUAGAAAAAAAAAAUAAAAAGUGGCUUAUCUGGGCAAGGUCUACACGAUUCUUCCCCAUUACCCCGAAUGCCACUUCCCCGAACGCCAUUACCCCGAACGCCAGUACCCCGAAAGCCAUUACCCCGAAUAGGCUAUUACCCCGAAUGGGUCAUUACCCCGCAUACCACUACCCCGAAUAGACCACUACCUCGAACGCCAUUACCCCGAAAGCAUAUUUUUAAAUAGCUUAUUCUGAUGAUGGUUUAUACAUACUUUUGUAAAGGAUAUUGAAGGAGAAGCCAUUGUUGAAAGAAGAAAUAAUUCAAUAACAUUACUGACAGCUUCAAUACCAGAAGAUACUAUUUGAAAGAAUAACCUUAAAACAACAUAAAGGAGCUAUGCGCAGUGUAAAGAAUUAGCCGCUAGGCGUGCGCAGUGUAAAGAAUAAGCCUAAAUGAAAAUUCACAAAUAAAAAGAAUUUAAAAAAAUCUAGCGUGAGCAACUUUUUUUUUUCUCACUCACUUUCGUAAACAAACCCAUGAAAGAACAGAUAAAAGAGAGGGCAUUUUGCUCUUCUAUCUCGCUUUUUCUUGAGUAUAUCAAAAAGAAUGAGCGAGAAAAAAAGCUGCGCACGCAAGUGAAUGCGUGUUAGAGCUGAUCUUGCAUGAGAUAUAACUGCCAGAAAAGGUCCGUUAAAUACUGGCUGUCAAUACUGGCUCAUUAGGCCUAAAAGACAUUUGGACAAACUAUCACUAUGCCAAAUGAUCAUAAGGCUAGAUGAAAAUUAUACCGAUCGAACCGAUCGAUGAAAAUUAUAACCGACAAACUAUCACUAUGCCAAAUGAUCAUAAGGCUAGAUCAUUAUAUCAUCAUAUUAUACCGAUCGAAAAAUUGGCCUCGAAAGAACAGCCUAUACCUAGAAGAAGGUAAAAUCUCUCAAGGAGGAAUAGACAGUUUGGUAAUUAAACUCUGUAACAACACAUUCUAAACAAGAGGAAAUUUUAGUUAAAAUACACAUUAAUAAAAAAAAAAACAA